UGCAAUCCGUGAUGCAAGACAAUUUCCUGAACCACUGUGAUUAGUACAGCAAAAAUCACCAUCUUUCGACUGAGAUUGCA
rfam:Zea mays cultivar B73 chromosome 3, whole genome shotgun sequence.